rnacentral:rRNA from 1 species
CGGCAAUGGAGGAAACUCUGACCGAGCAACGCCGCGUGAACGAUGAAGUAUUUCGGUACGUAAAGUUCUUUUAUUAGGGAAGAAUAAAUGAUGGAGAAAUCAUUCUGACGGUACCUAAUGAAUAAGCCCCGGCUAACUAUGUGCCAGCAGCCGCGGUAAUACAUAGGGGGCAAGCGUUAUCCGGAAUUAUUGGGCGUAAAGGGUGCGUAGGCGGUUAAAUAAGUUUAUGGUCUAAGUGCAAUGCUCAACAUUGUGAUGCUAUAAAAACUGUUUAGCUAGAGUAAGAUAGAGGCAAGUGGAAUUCCAUGUGUAGUGGUAAAAUGCGUAAAUAUAUGGAGGAACACCAGUAGCGAAGGCGGCUUGCUGGGUCUUUACUGACGCUGAGGCACGAAAGCGUGGGGAGCAAACAGGAUUAGAUACCCUGGUAGUCCACGCCAUAAACGAUGAGUACUAAACGUUGGGUAAAACCAGUGUUGAAGUUAACACAUUAAGUACUCCGCCUGAGUAGUACGUACGCAAGUAUGAAACUUAAAGGAAUUGACGGGACUCCGCACAAGCGGUGGAUCAUGUUGUUUAAUUCGAAGGUACCCGAAAAACCUCACCAGGUCUUGACAUGCUUCUGCAAAGCUGUAGAAACACAGUGGAGGUUAUCAGUUGCACAGGUGGUGCAUGGUUGUCGUCAGCUCGUGUCGUGAGAUGUUGGGUUAAGUCCCGCAACGAGCGCAACCCUUAUUGUUAGUUACCAGCACGUAAUGGUGGGGACUUUAGCAAGACUGCCAGUGAUAAAUUGGAGGAAGGUGGGGACGACGUCAAAUCAUCAUGCCCCUUAUGACCUGGGCUACAAACGUGAUACAAUGGCUGUUACAAAGAGUAGCUGAA